CACAGGGAGCAACUGGGCCCAAGAUGGCCGACUACCCAGAAACUUAUUCGGACCUGUCUGAUGACUUCUCCCAGGGGGAGGACACACACAUACCCCUCGGCCUACCGGUGACAACACCCAAGCCCCAGGACCUCGACAAUGCACCUGUUACUACAGCAGUGCUUAAGACGCUUCUGGCGGGCCUACAGACCACGAUCCAGGCAGAAAUGGCGGGCCUCCGAGCGGACCUCCAGGGCAUAACCGGGAGACUGAGCACCCUGGAACAGACGUCCACUACCGCUACGACCCAAAUUGCCUCCAUGCAACAGGAGAUAAGGGGCCUGCAAAGCAAAACAGAGGCCUUUGAGCGGCGAUUCGCCGCACUGGAGGACACACGCCGAACGGCCAACAUAAAGAUACGGGGCAUACCUGAUAACAUGCCGGCGGAGGAACUACCGCACUUCGUGCGAAGACUUCUUUCGGCGCUACUACCAUCACGUCAAGCAAAAGCAGUAAGUCUGGACGGAGUUUACAGGGUACCUAAAUCAGCCAAAGCCCCAAAAACAGCUACCAGAGAUACCAUAAUCCGCUUCCAGCGCAGGGAUGACAGAGCAGCAACUAUGGCGGCGGCAAGGAAUCAUGCCCAGUACACCUUUGAAUCAAUAUCGCUUACCUUCUUUACAGACUUAACCAGUAGCACUCUGGCCUGGAGGAGGUCGCUCCGGCCGUUCACUACGCUUCUUCAACAGAAAGGCAUAACAUAUAGGUGGCGCCUCAACCGCACCCUGCUAGUACACCAGGGCGAGAACACACACGAAGUAUACGACCUGCAGGGUGCGCAAGACCUACUAGCCACGUUGGGACUGCCUCAAGAUGAAAUGCGCCCCACGGCACACACCGGGACCACCACACCAAAGCACAGGUGGGAUCCUGAUAGGGUGCACACCUUUGUACCUCUACGGCCCAGACAUGGAAUCCCUGUUGACAACCCAGCAUGAAGGACUCGGGGACACGAAAACCAUGCUAAAACUCUGCCCGGGACAGUUGGACCUAAUUCUAACAGAGUUAAUAUUUUUGUUUUUAUUUUUAUUUUUUAGACUCCUCAGUUAUGGUGGUCGUUCUGUUUAAUUUGCUUAUAUGGCAAGCUUUGCCUGUUAUCAUCCAUGUCUGAACUCUUCCCCCAGCAGGACACAAAUAAUGAUGCCAGCCACCUACACACAUUACACAUAGACCUAUGCCACCCAUCAGAUUAAUUAACCUCCGUUCCCCCCCCCCGCCCGCCCUCAUCAGAUAUAAAACAACACAAACCUAUUAACGGCGGACAGGGCUAUCUUACACCCUGCAACCGAACACCCCCAACCUCACAACCAUAUUCACAGCAACAGCGGGGGGAAAAAAUAAAAAAUAAAAUAUUAUAUUAUAUUAUAACCAUACUACUGAACCUAGCCCUCCCAACCCCUGCAACAGCUCACUAAAAACACAGUAGGGCUCACCUAGGGGCACAUGCACUAGAAACGCAAACUAAUCUCUCACACAUCAGGUAUCAACCGGUUGUUGUGAAGUUGAUGUCUCAAGCACAUUUUUAGUACACAUUAGGCACUACACCGAAGUCAUAUUUACCCUGCUUUACCAUGUGUACUUAUUUUCUUUAAUCACUCUACGCAUUACUUGCUUGUUAUACAUUUCAAAUGUAAAAUGUGCAACCUCUUAACUAUGCCAAUGAUUGUCAUGGAAUUGCUCGCAGUCGCUAUCGUGGCGUUGCAAGCGUGUUUUGUAACCACAUGCACAAGUAAAAUAAAGAAUUUAAAAAAAAA
rnacentral:lncRNA from 1 species